rnacentral:lncRNA from 1 species
UCCCUUACUGAUUCAUAUGCAUAGUUUAUUAUAAACUAUCAUAUCAAUAAAAUUCAUUGCAUCAAGGCUGAGUUGUUAAAUAUGCUGGUAACCAUUGAAGAAACCUUGAAGAGUUCAAGGGGCACUGCUCUUGCUAUGAAAUGGAUGUCAUCUUUCAAGAGAAAGCCUACUGGGAAGAAGAAGAAAUCCGUAAAGAAACAAAAGACUCAAAAUAAGCUUAAGAAGG